AGAUUGAACGCUGGCGGAAUGCUUUACACAUGCAAGUCGAGCGGCAGCGCGGGGCAACCUGGCGGCGAGCGGCGAACGGGUGAGUAAUGCAUCGGAACAUGUCCAUGUCGUGGGGGGAUAGCCCGGCGAAAGCCGGAUUAAUACCGCAUACGCCCGAGAGGGGAAAGUGGGGGACCGCAAGGCCUCACGCGAUUGGGUUGGCCGAUGUCCGAUUAGCUAGUUGGCGGGGUAAAGCCCACCAAGGCGAUGAUCGGUAGCUGGUCUGAGAGGAUGGAUCAGCCACACUGGGACUGAGACACGGCCCAGACUCCUACGGGAGCAGCAGUGGGAAUUUGGACAAGUGGGGAACCUGACUCCAGCCAUUCCGCGUGAGUGAAGAGGCUUCGGGUUGUAAGUCUCUUUGUCCGGAACGAACGGUGAGCGUAG
rnacentral:rRNA from 1 species